AAGUCCUGGUACUCAGAUGGCCACUCAUGGUGGCCUCCAUACAAAGACUUGGACCGGUUACUAAAGAGCGUCAGGUUGAUGGAGGCACCACAGCCAGAUAAGGGUUGGACCAAGCAUCAGGCCAGAAUUCUACAUGAGUCGGCAUCAUUUGACAACAUUUCCAAAAAAUGGAAAAGGGCAUGCUACACUUCUGACAUCUCAGAAUCUGAAAAUUCUAUAAAAAGAAUUCACAAAAAGAAAACAUUCUCAUCAGAUGAUGAGCUUCAUGAAACCCCCAACAAAAAAAGUUAAAAUGAAUAGAGACAAAA